rnacentral:rRNA from 1 species
GCAAGUCGAGCGGACAGAAGGGAGCUUGCUCCCGGAUGUUAGCGGCGGACGGGUGAGUAACACGUGGGUAACCUGCCUGUAAGACUGGGAUAACUCCGGGAAACCGGAGCUAAUACCGGAUAGUUCCUUGAACCGCAUGGUUCAAGGAUGAAAGACGGUUUCGGCUGUCACUUACAGAUGGACCCGCGGCGCAUUAGCUAGUUGGUGGGGUAAUGGCUCACCAAGGCGACGAUGCGUAGCCGACCUGAGAGGGUGAUCGGCCACACUGGGACUGAGACACGGCCCAGACUCCUACGGGAGGCAGCAGUAGGGAAUCUUCCGCAAUGGACGAAAGUCUGACGGAGCAACGCCGCGUGAGUGAUGAAGGUUUUCGGAUCGUAAAGCUCUGUUGUUAGGGAAGAACAAGUGCGAGAGUAACUGCUCGCACCUUGACGGUACCUAACCAGAAAGCCACGGCUAACUACGUGCCAGCAGCCGCGGUAAUACGUAGGUGGCAAGCGUUGUCCGGAAUUAUUGGGCGUAAAGGGCUCGCAGGCGGUUUCUUAAGUCUGAUGUGAAAGCCCCCGGCUCAACCGGGGAGGGUCAUUGGAAA